UCCCGUGACGUUGAAGCUCUGAGGACGUCACCCAGCGUCUCACCAGGCUGAGUCCUGAUGACGUCAAUGAUCAACUGCUUUGUGCUGGGAAUCGAACACCACCUGUUAGCAUGCUAGUUGCUAAGCGGCGAGCACAGGUGAGAAGAAGCAAACAUACCUGAGCAGCAGUCCUUUGACAUCAGCGUUGUCCUCAGAGUCGUUAAAAACCUCAAACUUAUUGGUGAGCGUCAGAGAAACUUCGGUCUUGCUGGAAGAACAUUCUGACGCUGGAUCUGCUGAAGAAGAUGCCAUAGUCAUCGUCUGGAGGUGAAACUUUACUAUGGAUCAGAGCGGUCAAGCGAACAUGGAUCCCGACCAAAUGUCAACCAGCAGUUUUCGCUGCCGUCGACUUCCAUCAGACAUUGGCGUCAACACACCCGUGGAUACACCCUUCCGAC